AUCUGUCGGAAAGUGAGCGCUAUCAAUGUCGUUUUCCAUCUGUUCCUGUCAAUCAGGAAGCUCAGGGGCACGCCGCAGGGUUUGUGUGGCUCGGCCACUGUUCGAGGCUCAAAACAAAAACUUUUCCGACCCUCACAUCUGUGGGAGGAGUAGCAGCUGUGCUUCACUCUGCAUCAAACUUUCAUCCCAAUCCUCAGAGUUAGGAAGCCAGAACUGAAGCAAACAACGAAUAAAUAAAAGCAUGUCUUAUGAGUGUAUUCUGUCCAUUGAAAACUUGAACGAUGUUCCAAAUCCCUGGAAAGGAUUUACUAUGAACCGCUGCUUAUUGAUGGCUCUGGUUGUGCUGCUGGUGAGCUCAGGAGUACAGGAAGUUCAUGAGGGUCUGGAUUAUUUUGUGGAGGAGACGGGUAUCAGGUCCCUGGUUGACUGCCUCCAGACAGGGUCUCUUCCUCAGUUUUCCAUAUGGGACAGUGUGACCAGUUGGUGGGGAUCCGAAGAGCUUGGAGCAAUACGGAGAAGAAAAAAGCCAAUAGGCAGAAAAGUAAUUCUAAAACCGAAAGCUAAAGAGUGAAGCAUAAAAAAUGUUUUCUUUGAUGGAUUCACAGGAUUCCUGAAUAAAAAGUACAACCAAGUA